ACAUCAGUGUGAAAACUGAAACUUUCUACCCAGUACCUAUGUGGGUAAGUCACCUGUGGCACAGAGAUCUUUUGCAGCAUCGUGUCCCUGUGAAACCUUGGAUGGAGCAAGUCAUGAAACUGGCAAUCUUGUCCAAGCAUUGGGCACAGGAGAACAGACCCAUGGGAUCCAGAGAUACCUGGACAUAGACCUCAAAACUAAGCGGGGAAUGGUAUAAUGAGUGCACAGCAGUUGAGUACCCUGUGUUACAAUACUAAUUCCAAGGAAGUGUGGCAUCUCUUGCUGUAAAGGGCAAGGUCCUGACCCAGCAGUUUUGUCACUGGCUCACAAACAAGGCUUACCUUAGUCCCUGCUUCGGGUGUUCUGCCUAUUGCUUCAGCAAUGUGAGAGGCAAGAAGCUAGUGGCCUUGCUAUGUCCUGAAUUGUUUUUGUGCAGUCAAGUUGUUGGUGUGAACCCCUACAUGAGGACCCUGGAGGAUAGUGCUUGUUCUGAUUCAAGAAGACUCUGGUUUAGUGAGAGAGAAAUUAUGAUGAUGGGACAGAGAACACCAGAGGAAGUGUGGAAGAUAAAAUUGAGCAGGAGCAUAUUCUCACAGUCAGCUGUUUCUUAAGCACCACCUGAAGCACUGCAGGAAAUCGAUGAAGGAACAACAGGCCAACCAGCUUUUGGAGAGCAAAAACAGAGAUCUUCAGCAUAGAAAUAAUUGGAACCAAAGGUUUCCUUAAUUGGAGUUGAAAAGACUGUAUUAUCUAGAGAGAGGAUCCUUGGAACAUAAAAGCAACAUUAUUAGCUCUUCUACAGUGGCAUUCAAAUGGUAAUUUAACCUUUGUCUGAGAGAAAAGAUUAAAGGAAGAACUCAGAGCAGUCUUUUUGUUUUCUUCAGUUACUAUCUCAUGUACUUGCAUUUUUGUCUCUGUCUGCAUAGAAGCAGAGCUGUGGAAACUGAAGCCUCCAGGAAGUUCAUUCCUCUCCUCCUCCGUUUUCCCCUGUAAUUUAGACACCUGCCUGCUUUCCUCUUAGGAGACUCUAGGGCUAACAAACGCUACCACAGAUGAGAAUGAGGACGAAGCCAAGAGUGGGUGGGAAAGGCAGGGCAUGUGGCAGUCCAGGUCUAUUUUCUUAGCUUUUCAGCCUCCCGUCAAUAUUACAAAUAGCUGGUUUUGGUCAUACUCACAUUGGAAACUUCCACUAAAAUUGCAGUUGCUACAAAAUCUUAAUUUUCCAUGACUUUUCUUUUUCUGUAUGUCUCUUUCAGGAAAAUUAACCCCUGGGUCUUCUGUUUUUUUAGAAAUAUUCCAUUAAACUGCCUGUGCAUUCUGAGAGCUUUAGCUGCUGUAGCUGGUAGCAAGGGAGCCCUUACAGACACAUUAUAAGAAAUACAGUUUGUCUAGAAAGCUAAAUCCGAUGGGGAAAAAGAGCAAGAAAAAUCAGCAAAGUGCCAAGAUCUUACGGAGGCAUUGAGUGUAACUUCAGUUGAAUUGACCAUCAGUGAAAUGCAUUGACAUGCAGAAUGAAAUAUUUGAUUUGGAAAUGGCCAAACACUUUCUUUUAGUUGAUAACACUGAAGCAUUUUUUGUAUAAUAUUUAAGAAAAUUUGGGGGGCACUUGAG
rnacentral:lncRNA from 14 species